rnacentral:misc_RNA from 1 species
AAGUCGUAACAAGGUAACCGUAGGUGAACCUGCGGUUGGAUCAUUAAAAAUUUAAAACUCUUUACUUGGGGAAACCCUUGUAUUGAACCCAAUGUGAACUCAACUUGUCUCUGGUGAUUGAGGGGGUAACUCCUCUUCACUUUUAAACAUUGUAUUUUAAAGUCGCUUAAUCAAGCUUGGAAACAAGCCUAAAAUUUAAUAAAAAACAACUUUUGACAACGGAUCUCUUGGCUCUC